GUGAGCCACAAAUGAAUAUUUAAAGUAUGAAGAGUAACACACAGAAGUUAGAGCAAGAUCUUUGACUUGUUGUUAGUGCACAUGUUUGACAAGGUUACUGGAUGCAGUGGGAUUCACCAGGACUUGAAGAAUUGCUUGAAGAAUUGCUUUUAAACAUGAUUUUAGCCAGCGUUAAUUCCAGGAUAGAUACAGUCUCACAGCAUAUGCUUCUCUCAAACAUCAUGCAGUUCUGCUUUCUGGGAAGAAAUAAAAAAAGAAAUACCCUCCUUCUUCCUGUAUGUGAUUUGCAUUUACAGCAGACCUGAUUUUCAGAUAAGUAAAUGUUCACAAGUCCACUUAAAAUAAGAGGAGCUGCAGCAAUCAUUUCAGAACUGGAUCUUAAACCUUUCUUGGCGGUGAGGGGGAAAGUGGAAAGAGAACAGCAUAUUUGGUAUAGUUGAUGUCUGCGUAUCUCAUGUUUUGAAAGAGAACACUAUUCCUGUCUUAUUGGUAAAAUCCAAGCAAUCUUUGCUCCUACAAGGUACUGUAAAGAGACCUGCCGUUCUGGUAUGUACAUUUACCUUUUAUCUUCUCUCUCAUUGUAAGAGGCAUCCUUUUUUUUUCCAGUCAAACCCCUCAUUUAACCAUUAUUUCUUCUAAAAAUUCCUUCAGUAGAAAUUUGUGUGACGCUAUCAUCCAGCCAGCUUAAGAGACAAUUCAGAAGUAAAUGAAGAUAACGCUCUCAACUUACAACCCUUUUUCUAAUUGGGUAAAUGCCUCCAAACACACUGUGUAGCCGUUUGGUAGGGGUUUUUUUGACCUGUCUAAUCAGAGUAGUUCUUCUGUGGUGGCACACCUCUGUGGACACAGACCAGGAAUACUCCCAAUGCUUGUGCUCAGAAAAAGGCAGAAGUUGCUUCAGUGCAGGAGAACAAAAAUGCAAAGAGGAGAGGAAUAAUGCUACCUGGAGUGUUAAACAGAGAAGGGGUAGGGUCCUGCCAACCUUCGCUGUGGUUAGGAACCUAAAUAAUUUGUACCUCCCUAGGGCAGGCCAGUGACUGGACAGCAUCUAAGCCACAAGAAAUAGAAAACGUUGUGAGAAUGAAUAACAUACAGAAGGAAUUCCAUAGUUUGAAAAUCCGAUUAAUUAUAGAGAAAUUAAAAUUACAGAUCAAUCUGACCAUCUUUUAUAUGUUUAUUUUCAUUGUGAAU